rnacentral:rRNA from 1 species
UACGAAGGGGGCUAGCGUUGCUCGGAAUUACUGGGCGUAAAGGGCGCGUAGGCGGAUAGUUUAGUUGGGGGUGAAAGCCCGGGGCUCAACCUCGGAACUGCCUUCAAUACUGGCUAUCUUGAGUACGGGAGAGGGAUGCAGAAUUCCAGGUGUAGCGGUGAAAUUCGUAGAUAUUGGGAAGAACACCAGUGGCGAAGGCGGCUCACUGGCCCGUAACUGACGCUGAGGUGCGAAAGCGUGGGGAGCAAACAGG